UACGUAGGUGUCAAGCGUUGUCCGGAUUUAUUGGGCGUAAAGCGCCCGCAGGCGGCUUGCCAAGUUCGAUGUGAAAUCUCCCGGCUUAACUGGGAGGGUGCAUCGAAAACUGGCAGGCUUGAGGCAGGGAGAGGGAUGUGGAAUUCCAGGUGUAGUGGUGAAAUGCGUAGAUAUUGGGAGGAACACCAGUGGCGAAGGCGGCUCACUGGACUGGUACUGACGCUGAUGCGCGAAAGCGUGGGGAG
rnacentral:rRNA from 1 species